rnacentral:rRNA from 1 species
GACGAACGCUGGCGGCGUGCUUAACACAUGCAAGUCGAACGGAAAGGCCCUGCUUUUGUGGGGUGCUCGAGUGGCGAACGGGUGAGUAACACGUGAGUAACCUGCCCUUGACUUUGGGAUAACUUCAGGAAACUGGGGCUAAUACCGGAUAGGAUCUCCUGCUGCAUGGUGUGGGUUGGAAAGUUUCGGCGGUUGGGGAUGGACUCGCGGCUUAUCAGCUUGUUGGUGGGGUAGUGGCUUACCAAGGCUUUGACGGGUAGCCGGCCUGAGAGGGUGACCGGCCACAUUGGGACUGAGAUACGGCCCAGACUCCUACGGGAGGCAGCAGUGGGGAAUAUUGCACAAUGGGCGGAAGCCUGAUGCAGCAACGCCGCGUGCGGGAUGACGGCCUUCGGGUUGUAAACCGCUUUCGCCUGUGACGAAGCGUGAGUGACGGUAAUGGGUAAAGAAGCACCGGCUAACUACGUG